UCACGUGGCGACGAUUAGCUGGAGAUGUGUUUUCCUUGCCUUUAGCCUUAACUUUCGCAAGUCCUUUCCUUUUUGCCCCAACUGAAACCCAUUCAGAUUUGUUUUUCGAGAUUUCCUUCCAAAUAUCCUCUUAUUUUCUUUCAUAUUUCCUUUAUUAGUCAUACCUUCACCAGAUUUUCUAUUAAUGCUUUCCCCACGUGUAUUACCCUUUUGCUCAACUGCCACCCGAUUUCCUUCCUUAAUCCUCGCCUCAGAUCCAUUGUAUCCCUCCAUAUUCGUUUGUAAUCUCCGAUUGCGAAGAUCUCGCUCCACUAACAUUUCUGGGCCGUGAGGACUUGCCGCCGGUGACUCUUCCUGUUUUCCGACUGCCGUCAAUCUUUCUGCAUGAGCUUCCAACGUACCACUGUCCUUCUCCUCCUUGUUUCUAGGAUCGUCAUAUUCCUCCCGUUGUGUUUGUACAGUUUGCAAGUAAACUCUAGGCACACUUCCUUAUGAUGUCAAUAUUUCCCACAAUGAAAGCAUACCGGGUACAAUCCCUUAUACUCGAUCCGAUAUUCCUCACCAAGUAAGGCAAAUGUCAAUAACAGCGGCUGUCCUAGGUCAAGCUCCACACAUAUCUGGGCGAAACCUCCCUUGUGUCUGAAAUUGAGGUAGAUAAAUCUAGCUCAGUGUUUUACCCACCAUGUUUCCUACUCUUCUAAGAGAUUCCACAUUAUAUAAUUCCACAGGUAUUUUUGAUAUACGAAUCAACACCACGAUCCUUCUCUGCCGCUUUGCCUUCAAAGGAUUAAAAUUUGGCCGCCCCCUCUGAACCAACAACUAGUGAUCAUCGAUCAUCCACGGCCCCUCAUGGUACAUUAAUAAUACUUUUAAGAACAGGAAAAUGCAAGGGGACGACUGGGGAAGAAGCUUUGUGGUAGGCACCAUCAUCAAUUUGAGGUUCAACGAGCUUUGCAAGCAAAAGAAAAGGAUAAUAAGAGAUGUAUCUCAUGAAUGGAAAGGUUGAGGAGGAGUGUAAAAUAGAGGAUGUAUAACAACACAAUUGUGACAACUAGAAUUACACUUGUCAUAAAAGUAGUAAUGGUCAGCCACGUAAGUUUGCUCACCACUAGGCACACAGCCGCCAAGAAUGCCAAUGAUAGUGCUGCAAGAGAGAUUCCCAAAAGUGAUAUUGCGUAUGAGGGCAUACUAUAAUAGACAAAGAUCUCCCAGCCGAGCCCACAUGAGAACAAUUGUUAUGCUGAUGGCACCAUACAUAGAGCUUGUGAGACAAAAUGCACAAAUGGAAUAUAUGGCAUUUAAGAUUGACGGCAGUCCCAUCAUCCACAUCACCUAGUAGCCAUAAGAGGGAUGGGGUUGAAUUGGGAAAAAGCUUCAGGGUUGGCAUCAUUAUCAUCAAUUUGAGGUUCAGCGAGCUUUGUAAGCAAAAGAAAAGGAUAGUAUGAGAUGUAUCUCAUGAAUGGCAAGGUUGAGGAGGAGGGUAAACAGAGGAAAGUGUAUAAUAACACAAUCGUGACAACUAGAAUUACACUACUUGUCAUAAAGGUAAUGGUCAACCACAUAAGUUUGCUCACCACUAGGUACACACCUGCCAAGAAUGCCAAUGAUAGUGCUACAAGAGAGAUUCCCAGAAGUGGUAUUGCGCAAUUAAGGGCAUAAUAUACUAGACGGAGAUCUCCCAGUCGAGCCCACAUGAGAAUAACUGUUGUGCUGAUGGCACCAUACAUAGAGAUUGUGGGAAGUGGGGUCUCUCCACUUCCUUUUUCUCCAUUUCCCUCCACUUCCCCCAUCCUCACCAUUCAUUAAUUUUAUCAUUUAAAAAAAUUAUUUAAUAAAAAAAUUUGAAUGGUGAGGAUGGGGGAAGUGGAGGGAAAGGGAGGGAAAAAAGUGGAGAGACCCCUGGUCCGAGAUUGUGAGAGAAAGAAUGUACAAAUGGAACAUAUGGCGCUUAAGAUUGACAGCAGUCCCAUCAUCCACAUCACCUGGCAUGGUAAAUCCAGCAGCAAAUGAUGCUGUUAUCAUAAGGGUUGAAACCACUAUUAAAGUGUCAAUUCUGUCUUCAUAUUGUUCGGUUCUGAAUUCCCUUUUCAUCACUAUAGUUUGUGCGCUUGUAGGAGUGAGUCCCAUCAUUGAUUUUUGAGGUCUACCGGCAGAUUGCAACGCAAUCCAUGUAAGUCGCUGCAAAUAUGCAUUUGGAUUUGUUAGAAACAAAACUAGCAUUGAAUCUUCAUUAAAAUAUUAAAUUUUGUAUUAAUAUACUUGCCUGUGCAAA